UGGGGAAUAUUGCUCAAUGGGCGCAAGCCUGAUGCAGCAACGCCGCGUGAACGAUGAAGGUCUUCGGAUCGUAAAGUUCUGUUGCAGGGGAAGAUAAUGACGGUACCCUGUGAGGAAGCCCCGGCUAACUACGUGCCAGCAGCCGCGGUAAUACGUAGGGGGCUAGCGUUAUCCGGAUUUACUGGGCGUAAAGGGUGCGUAGGUGGUCCUUCAAGUCGGUGGUUAAAGGCUACGGCUCAACCGUAGUAAGCCGCCGAAACUGGAGGACUUGAGUGCAGGAGAGGAAAGUGGAAUUCCCAGUGUAGCGGUGAAAUGCGUAGAUAUUGGGAGGAACACCAGUAGCGAAGGCGGCUUUCUGGACUGCAACUGACACUGAGGCACGAAAGCGUGGGUAGCAAACAGG
rnacentral:rRNA from 1 species